rnacentral:rRNA from 1 species
CAGCCGCCACGGUAAUACGAAGGGUGCAAGCGUUAAUCGGAAUUACUGGGCGUAAAGCGUGCGUAGGCGGUGAGUUAAGUCUGUUGUGAAAUCCCCGGGCUCAACCUGGGAAUGGCAAUGGAUACUGGCAAGCUAGAGUGUGUCAGAGGAUGGUGGGAUUCCCGGUGUAGCGGUGAAAUGCGUAGAGAUCGGGAGGAACAUCAGUGGCGAAGGCGGCCAUCUGGGACAACACUGACGCUGAGGCACGAAAGCGUGGGGAGCAAACAGGAUUAGAUACCCCCGUAGUCCCUGUCUCUUAUAC